rnacentral:rRNA from 1 species
AUUGAACGCUGGCGGCAUGCCUUACACAUGCAAGUCGAACGUGAAAGCGGGGCAACCCGCAAGUAGAGUGGCGGACGGGUGAGUAAUACAUCGGAACGUGUCCAGUAAUGGGGGAUAACCUAGCGAAAGUUAGGCUAAUACCGCAUACGAUCUGCGGAUGAAAGCGGGGGAUGCGGCACUAAAGGCUUUUGGCGAAGGUGGCCAAAGGUGAGUCAAGAGCUUUUAGUGCNGCACCUCGCGUUAUUGGAGCGGCUGAUGUCUGAUUAGCUAGUUGGUGAGGUAAAGGCUUACCAAGGCGACGAUCAGUAGCUGGUCUGAGAGGACGGCCAGCCACACUGGGACUGAGACACGGCCCAGACUCCUACGGGAGGCAGCAGUGGGGAAUUUUGGACAAGUGGGGGCAACCCUGAUCCAGCCAUGCCGCGUGAGU